rnacentral:rRNA from 1 species
CAGAACGACCUGUGAACAUGUCAAAAAGUACCUAAGUGGAUUGUUGAUGGGUUGCCCGGGCCCUCGGCACGUGGCACGGCGCUUGGGGGGCGUUCGCGGUGCGCUCAUGGAAUGUGGCUUCUUUUUAAUUACAAACGACUCUCGGCAACGGAUAUCUCGGCUCACGCAUCGAUGAAGAACGUAGCAAAAUGCGAUACUUGGUGUGAAUAGCAGAAUCCCGUGAACCAUCGAGUUUUUGAACGCAAGUAGCGCCCGAAGCCUUUUGGCCGAGGGCACGUCUGCCUGGGCGUCACGCAUCGCGUCGCCCCCAACAAAUAUCUGUUGGGGGCGGAUAUUGGUCUCCCGUGCUCAUGGCGUGGUUGGCCAAAAUAAGAGUCCCUUCGAUGGACACACGAACUAGUGGUGGUCGUAAAAACCCUCGUUCUUUGUUCUGUGUUAGUCACAAGGAAAAACUCUUCAAAUACCCCAACGCGUUGUCUUAGGAUGACGCUUCGACCGCGACCCCAGGUCAGGCGGGACUACCCGCUGAG